UCUAAAGCUGCUGCUGAAUGAGUCCUGCAAGCUUAUGAUUGUGCUUGGUUUGGUAAAAACAAAGUCCAAAUGAUUUUCAGAUCAGAACCCAUUUUCUGAUCCAUUUAGUGAAAAAGCCCAUUGACAAUACCGAGUUUGUCAGCUCAGCCUCCAAAGAAAAAAAAAAAAAACCAUUGAUUAAACCCUAAACCCUCGUCUGAUGCCGUUUCCAGAAAUUCAACAUCCGAAGACGCAUCUUUUCAAUUUUUGUGUUGAUUUUAGGGUUUUUGUUUUUCCUUUCCUAUUACCUAACAUGGGUUGGAAUUUUUAUUGUCCUUUAAGAAUUUGGGGUAUUGGAAACAUCGGGUUAUCAUCGAAGCGUUCAAGAAAAGCUAGAGGCAAAGAUGUGGACUUGGAGGACUUCGACGAUUCGGAAGAUGAGAUUGAGGAAUUAAUGGUUAAUGGUGAAGAAGAAGAAGACGAUGAAGAAGACAUUGAUGAUACUGCUUUCAGAGAAAAAGCAGUUGACGUAUGGCAGAGAAAGACAGAAGUCACAACUGGUUCUGCUGCAAUCAAAAGCCAAUUGCAAGCAUUUAAUCAGAAUAUUAGUGAACAAGUGGCUGCCAAUAUGAGGGAUCCAAGUAAAAUGGUAAAGCAAAUGCAACAAAGAAUAUGAACUAUUGGCAUAUUUGGGCCUGUUACCGAGGCCACUAACAAUGCUAAUGGAGAGGUAAAAAUUCAUGAAGGUAAGAGAAGUUGCUGAUGGUCAAGCUGUGAUGAGUGCUAGUCAGUAUCUAGCCAAAGUAAAAUAGCUGGUGGUUUGGAUAUUUGGUAUAAGAAUGCUGCUUUUGUUAUUAAUACAUGUUAUGCUGCUUUUCUCCUGUCAAAUAUUUUUAUAUUGAAUCCUUUCUUUGCUUAGGGGCACAUCCUGCAGGUGAUCCUGAACUUCUGGAUGAUUCCGAAUUUUUCCAGCAAUUGCUGAAGGAAUUUUUUUUUGAGACUGUUGACCCAACAUCAUAUAGUACAUCUUGUAAAAUUUUCUUGCAUGAUUGUGUUGAGAAUUAUUUUUCUUUUUUAAAAUCAUUUAUUACUGUUUGACCACAGAGAAAGCCUUCUAUGCCUUGAAAAGACUGCAAGCUAAGAAGAGAAAAAUAGUUGAUCAGCAUGCUUCAAAGAGACAAAAGAUAAGGUAAGUUCUCAAGUGUGUUUAGAUUAGCGCCUUGUAAUAUUUGAGUUCACGUUAAUCUAGUGCAUUUCUUCAUGUCAAAAUUUCCUGUUUAAUAACAUUCUUAUUGGUACUAUGUUCAUAUGAAGAUUGUCAAUUUCAUGGCUCCUGAACCCAUGAACCUUCCUGCCACGGCUCCAAAAUUGUUUGAGAAUUUAUUUGGAUUGAAAACCCAAUAACCUACUGCUGAAGUCUGAAUUUUUUACCUUUGAAAUUUUGUAAUAUUACCCAAUAACCCAAUAACAUGUGUUUUAUUCUGAUGUAUAAUUACCAACACAGGAAAAAAAAAAAGAAAAAUUUAGAAGAGUUAUAUUUGAUAUACUAUUAAUGUAUGAAUUUUAUAUACAGUGAAUUAGAUAAUGUUAUUUCA